rnacentral:siRNA from 1 species
ACCUAUUCAGGUUCUGGUUC